rnacentral:rRNA from 1 species
UACGUAGGUGACAAGCGUUGUCCGGAUUUACUGGGCGUAAAGAGCGCGCAGGCGGUCGAUCAAGUCGAGUGUGAAAGCCCCCGGCUCAACUGGGGAGGGUCAUUCGAUACUGAUCGACUCGAAGGCAGGAGAGGGUAGUGGAAUUCCCGGUGUAGUGGUGAAAUGCGUAGAUAUCAGGAGGAACACCGGUGGCGAAGGCGGAUCUCUGGGCCUUGCCUGACGCUGAGGCGCGAAAGCUAGGGGGAGCGAACAGG